ACCUAAAUAGAGAAGGACAAGUAACGCGGAGAAAGAUCAAAGGAUAAUCGGCUUAGCGCGAGCUCUUCGCGAAACGAUGUGCGUUCGGAUCACGUGACCUCCCGUACAGGUAGCGAGCAUAUCGCGGCUGUUGAUGACUUUUUGUGUCAUUUGGACAGGUAGCUGGUGAUAACGCGAGGAAAACGUUCGGGUGGAUGAGUCAAAACACUUAUAGAGAUAAAAUAGAGGAAACGCAUUUGCCAAUGAAAAAGUGAGGGGCAUAUUUUGGCUGCCAAAAGGUCUGAACUGGACAUCCGUCUUCAUCAGUGUAAAGCUAUUGGGCAGACUAGAGGAAGAUGGAAGACUACCUGGAAUAAUACGAUUAACCCUCAGAAAAUUAGAUAAAGAAGGGCAGUGGUCUAAGAGAGAAAGUAGACAAUGCAGAGUUCCUAGUCAUGUUUUCGCAUUAGAUAAUUCUGAAAGGAAGAAGGACAGACUGUUGCAGAUUGCCAUGGAAUUAUUCCACAAGAUCAUAGACACAAAAAAAAAACAUUCCACCUAACUUUGCUCAACUUUGGUUUUACCAAAUUUGAUGUAACACCAACAUAUGCCAGUACAAUUAAUGCAUAUUUUUCCACUAGUGCCGCACAUACCAGUUCAACAGGAACAAUAGCAAACUUAAAGGAAAGACAAAAGCAGACUUUUGAUGAGCGGUCACAGCAGCCACAGAACCCUCCACUAAGUCAGUCAUUUCACAGUCCACCUGGUAAAGAAAGCAAAAUGUGUAGUAAAUCAAAUACCGGGAUGAGUUCAAUUUUAAGAUGGACAGAAAGAAAGGAAAAAAGAACUGAAGUGCCAAGUCACUGCCAUGAUGUUGACACAAAGAGAUUGAAAUUGGAUGUGCCAGGUACAGUGGUUUCUUUUCCUGAUCACAUUGAUAGGUCUGUAUUUGAUGCUUUACCUCCAGAACUGAAAUAAGAAGUGUUAGCCAAUGCAGAUUUGUUAAAAGCCCAAAUUCUUGACUCCAGCCUUAAGGCCAGUGUCCAUAAGGCCACGGACACAACCCAAUAUUGUGAUAGCAAUAAUGGAAAGGCUGGAAACAUGUUACAAGGCACAAAGACUGAAGUUGAAUCAACAACCAAGGAUACAUGCAUGGAAAAAGACUUGACUGUUGGUGCUGAGAUAGAAGGUUCAAUUUUGAGUCCUUGUCAAAUGUCAUUUUCCAAGAAAAAUGAUGAGGAAAAUUCAUUACAUUUUGAUAGUGGCACAUUGGAUACAACAGACAAAACAUUGAACAUCAUGGUCCCUCCUGACAUUGACAAAUCUGUUUUCACACAGUUGCCUCCAGAUAUUCAAAAGGACUUGUUAACCCAGUGGAAUCAGAAAAUAUCCACAAAUUCUCAUGUUAAACAGAAAUCCAAAACAACUAAGUCACCUUCAUUGCUGAAAUAUUUCAAAAAACUUGCAGUAUGUUAUGAUCUUUAUGUUAUAUGUAAACACAUUACUGUUAAUAAAUGAUAUUGAUUUAA
rnacentral:lncRNA from 1 species